CAGACCUCAAGAAAACACAAGAUCCUACAUACAUGUGCAACCCUAAAACUAGUGCUCUCAAUAAGGAGGAACAUGUGAGUCCAAACAGAGAAACAAAGAGUGUGGAAUGCAUCAGUUAAAAUCUCAAGAAACCCCGAGGCAGAGGAUUAAGAGAUGCUGAAGAGAAGAUGAGUCUGUGUGCAUUUAUCUGUGCUUAGCCUGCUCCGAAUGGGAACACAGCUCUCAAAUGAAGGUGUGUGUGGUGUGUGAUGGUGGAAGUAACCAGCAGCCAGGCAAAUGGCAGAUCGUGGCCCUUUUCCACCUCCAUGUGUAAUAAUUGCAGGACUCCCUUCCCAGACAAGACUGCUCACUCCUGCAGAAAAUGACCUUGUUCUUGAGAGCUGCUGCUAAUUUACAGUGAGGCACUAGGUUUCUACCCAGUGCCACGUGAGCAACCAAUCCAUCUACCCAGGGGCACGGCACUGACGAGCAGCAUCAUUUAGAAGGAAAGAAGUAUGGGUGGUGUUUAUUGUUCCUGUGUGUUAAGGACAAUCCAGUGGUAAGCAGUGUGGGAGCAUUGCUUCUGAGCUUAGGGUCACUGAGGAAGGGGAAAGCUGCAUUGUACUAUCUACAUAAAAAUAUAGCCGAG
ensembl:processed_transcript RIKEN cDNA E130307A14 gene